UACGUAGGCAGCAAGCGUUGUUCGGAGUUACUGGGCGUAAAGGGUGUGUAGGCGGUUGUUUAAGUUUGGUGUGAAAUCUCCCGGCUCAACCGGGAGGGUGCGCCGAAUACUGAAUGACUAGAGUGCGGGAGAGGAAAGUGGAAUUCCUGGUGUAGCGGUGAAAUGCGCAGAUAUCGGGAGGAACACCGGUGGCGAAGGCGGCAUCCUGGACCGGCAUUGACGCUGAGGCGCGAAAGCCAGGGGAGCAAACGGG
rnacentral:rRNA from 1 species